AUUAAAGUUGUUGCAGUUAAAAAGCUCGUAGUUGGAUUUCGGAAGGUCCUUAGUAGUCCGCCCCUUCGGGGAGCGGGCUGCUGGCCUCCUAUGUUCCUAACGGUCCUCAUCCGCGAGGGUGGGGAAUCAACCGCUAGGAUCGUUUACUUUGAGGAAAUUAGAGUGUUCAAAGCAGGCGUAACUCGCCUCCGAAUACGUUAGCAUGGGAUAAUGGAAUACGACUUCGGUCUUGUUUCGUUGGUUUCGCUUGGCUGAAGUAAUGAUUGAUAGGGACAGUUGGGGGCAUUAGUAUUUAGUUGUCAGAGGUGAAAUUCUAGGAUUUACUAAAGACUGACCAAUGCGAAAGCAUUUGCCAAGGAUGUUUUCAUUAAUCAAGAACGAAAGUAGGGGGAUCGAAGACGAUCAGAUACCGUCGUAGUCUCUACCGUAAACUAUGCCGACCAGGGAUCCGGAGAGUUUGCAUGGAUGACUCCCCGGGCACCUUGUGAGAAAUCAUAAGUGUUUGGGUUUUGGGGGGAGUAUGGUCGCAAGGCUGAAACUUAAAGGAAUUGACGGAAGGGCACCACCAGGAGUGGAACCUGCGGCUUAAUUUGACCCAACACGGGGAAACUUACGAGGUCAGGACACUGUGAGGAUUGACAGAUUGAAAGCUCUUUCUUGAUUCAGUGGGUGGUGGUGCAUGGCCGUUCUUAGUUGGUGGAGUGAUUUGUCUGGUUAAUUCCGAUAACGAACGAGACCUUAACCUGCUAAAUAGCCCGGCCGACUUUGGUUGGUCGCUGGCUUCUUAGAGGGACUAUCGACGUCUAGUCGAUGGAAGUUUGAGGCAAUAACAGGUCUGUGAUGCCCUUAGAUGUUCUGGGCCGCACGCGCGCUAAUUUCAAAGAUAACCCGGGCCUGUCGGGAACCAGCGAGUUUAUUUCCUUGGCCGGAAGGCCUGGGUAAUCUUGUGAAAUUCGGUCGUGAUGGGGAUAGAGCAUUGCAAUUAUUGCUCUUCAACGAGGAAUACCUAGUAAGCGUGAGUCAUCAGCUCGCGUUGAUUACGUCCCUGCCCUUUGUACACACCGCCCGUC
rnacentral:rRNA from 1 species